UUUGCUUUUCAGCCUUUUGACUAACAUCAAGUGUAGUAUCUGUUCUUAUCAGUUUUCGGGAGGGAGAAUAUGGUGCCUCAUGUUGAGUGAGGGCACUGGUUAGUAUCUUUUCUGAUGUAAUUGGAUAUAGAACGGUAGGAGGGUUCCUUUUCCUUCUGGCCUGAGUCCCACAGGCUUGUCCCC